GUAAAGCAGUGUCCUGCUGAGAUGAGGGAUCAGGUAAAGCAGUUUUGGAGCCCAUCGGUCCGUGCUUUGAGCUUGUACUGGGGGAGCCUCUGCUUCUCCCAUAAAUUCCUCAUGUGCACAAGCAGUGGAGCAGAGGGAGAGCAGGCAGGGAGCAGGGUGCUGGGAGGGUCCAGGAGACAGGAGCCCACUGGGAAGGGACCUGCAGGUCCUGGGUGGGAUGGGGUGGGAUGAGCACCCUCCUGUGCCCCCUGCUAACUGCUGGCGAGGGGCUGGCUCCCACCUGGCCUUUUGGUUGUACUGCUCAUGCAGCACAAAUUGGGAUGCUUAAUUAUUUCAAUAGAGGUUAAUUAUGUUAGUCACUGCAGCAAAUCUCCAGUUCAUGCCAUGCUUUCCACUUCAUUUAAUUCAUUACCCCCUGUGAAAUUCAGUAGAUUCCUGCAUAGAAUUGCUCAUUUAGCUCACAUAUGUCCCUUUCAACAGCAAUCCUCCACACCUACCCCUUCUCUUUCUCUUGGUUUUUGCUCCUCUAAAUAUUAAUGGCUGGAAGUAACAAAGCUAGGGGGCACACGAAUGCCUGGGCCAAGGCAGGAGCGCAGCAGUUGGUCCUGACAAGGGGUAAAGAACAAGUUGGCUGGAGCAAUCACUUUCUGCUGGGUCACCCAUGCAUGUCCUUGUGGUCAGCCCUCCAGCAGGAUCUAAAAGAGCUCCUGUUAACACGGAUGGUUGUUUGCAUAACCAUGCAAAGCGAACUCUGUUCUUUCAAGAAGCUGUAAGACGAAAGCAUAAUUGCCUGUGCUGCCAGCACCGCCAGGCCCACCUAACCAAAGGUUGCUCUGCCGUCAGCCUGGGCACUGCCAGCGCUGCGCGGGGAGCUCCCGGGAGUCUGAAGGGCUUCAGGUGGAAGGAGUGA
rnacentral:lncRNA from 1 species